UUUCCCUCAGGAUAGCUGGCACUCGCUCGAACGAGUCUCAUCUGGUAAAGCGAAUGAUUAGAGGCCUUGGGGCCGAAACGACCUCAACCUAUUCUCAAACUUUAAAUGGGUGAGAUCUCUGGCUUGCUUGAACGUUGAAGCCACGAGAGAGAUUGAAUUUUCGAACGGAUCAGAGUGCCAAGUGGGCCAAUUUUGGUAAGCAGAACUGGCGCUGUGGGA
rnacentral:rRNA from 1 species